UACGGCUUUAUCACGUUGAACACCGGUUCUCGUAAAAUCAUCAAAGUUAAGCAACUUUGAGCUUGCUCAGUACCUAGAUGGGUGACCACUUGGGAAUACCAGAUGCUGUAAG